rnacentral:rRNA from 1 species
UACGUAGGGUGCGAGCGUUAAUCGGAAUUACUGGGCGUAAAGCGUGCGCAGGCGGUUGUGCAAGACAGAUGUGAAAUCCCCGGGCUUAACCUGGGAAUUGCAUUUGUGACUGCACGGCUAGAGUGUGUCAGAGGGGGGUAGAAUUCCACGUGUAGCAGUGAAAUGCGUAGAGAUGUGGAGGAAUACCGAUGGCGAAGGCAGCCCCCCUGGGAUAACACUGACGCUCAUGCACGAAAGCGUGGGGAGCAAACAGG